GACGAACCGUACAAACGUUAUUCGGAAUCACUGGGCUUAAAGGGUGCGUAGGCGGCACUGUAAGUUGGGUGUGAAAUCCCUCGGCUUAACCGAGGAACUGCGCCCAAAACUACAGUGCUUGAGGGAGAUAGAGGUGAGCGGAACUUAGGGUGGAGCGGUGAAAUGCGUUGAUAUCCUAAGGAACGCCAGGGGCGAAAGCGGCUCACUGGGUCUCUUCUGACGCUGAAGCACGAAAGCGUGGGGAGCAAACAGG
rnacentral:rRNA from 1 species